GGCCAAGGAACCCCAGACCUCAUGGACAGCACAUGCAGAUUACCCCACGGUCCAGCACAUUUUGGAUUCUUUGACUGCACCUCGUUAGUUGCAGAAAUUUAGUCUGUCCACAUCUGAUGAAGUAAACUAAAUGAAAACGUAUAGGCUGAGAUUUCAGAAACGUUAAUGUGUAUUGGGAUUUCUAUGUGCUGUGGUUUCGUGCAAUAAAUUGUUUUUUUAAAAGU